AAUCCCAGCACUUUGGGAGGCUGAAGUGGGCGGAUCAUUUGAGGUCAGGAGUUUGAGAUCAGCCUGGCCAGCAUGGCGAAACCCCAUCUCUACUAAAAAUACAAAAAUUAGCUGGGCGUGGUGGCACAUGCCUGUAAUCUCAGCUACUCGGGAGGCUGAGGCAGGAGAAUUGCUUGAACCUGGGAGGCAGAGGUUGCAGUGAGCCUGGGCAACAGAGUGAGUGAGACUUAUAUCUCAAAAAAAAACAAAAAACAAAAAACUGAAAGACAUGAAGAAAUGGUUUUUGUACCAAGGUUUGGCCCACGCUGAGAUUCACAAAGAACUGGCUUUCAGUUCUUAUCUUUAUUUUGAUUUAAACUGGCCCAUCAUGUUGUCCUUUGAAGUUAGUCUAGUAAAUUUCUUUCCAAAGGGCUGGGGCACUCAGAAGGGAGUUUACUUUUCUAUAUUUAUUUCAUAAAGCAAAGAUGGGAGAUCCUCCAUUAGGGCUUGGGAAAGUAAACUGAGUGGCAGAAGGGCUCCUGUGAUUAGCUGAGAGAGACUGUGGUCCUUCGGCCCUGAUGAUAGAUCCCUGGCCUUGCCACAUACCAUACACAGUGCCCGCACCCCCAUCCCCCACCACACCCAAUAUAGUCUGUGCCCUCAGGACAUUGCUCCAGGGCAGUAGCAUGGUGAGGUUAGCCUGAUGAUGGCCUUGAGCUAAAGAGUGUGCACCUAAAAUGCACUUGUUUGAGUAGUUUCUGCCUAUGCCUUCAAGUUGCCUUUUUGGGAAAACCUAGUGACCGUUAAGAGUAAAUGCAAACUAAUUUGAUUUUAAUAUCAUAUGUAGAGCUGUAUUAUAUGAACCAAAUGCUAGUCUGUUAAGCAAUAGCUACACUUAUUUUUUCAAGACAAUGGAUGGUUUAAAUGGAGUCAUCUAUAGAAAUUGGUAGUGGCGUGAGUUAUGCAUUGUAACCAUCAAGAAAGUUCAGUUGAUGAAGUGUAGAGGAGCGAUGGAGGUUGUCAGACAUCGGUUGUGUACAUGCUCCUUUUUCUUUCACUUUAGUUUCCACGGGCUCCCUUGCUCAGCAGUAUGCGCACCCUAACGCUACCCUGCACCCACAUACUCCACACCCUCAGCCUUCAGCUACCCCCACUGGACAGCAGCAAAGCCAACAUGGUGGAAGUCAUCCUGCACCCAGUCCUGUUCAGCACCAUCAGCACCAGGCCGCCCAGGCUCUCCAUCUGGCCAGUCCACAGCAGCAGUCAGCCAUUUACCA
rnacentral:lncRNA from 1 species